ensembl:lncRNA
UUUGACUGAAGAAAUUUAUUUACUUUUCCCCCUAGGUACAUAGAUGACAUUAUUAUAGACAGUUUUGAUACACAGGAAAACCCUUCUGUCCACCUUCCUUUUUUUUUUUAAAUGGAUCAUCACAAUAAUUUUUUUUUUACAGUUUUAAAACAAUACACAGCUUUCUUGGGCUGAAGCAAUUGCAAGAACGUAUUGGUAUAUUACAGCUACUUACAAUGUUUAAGAAUAGCAAUGGAGAAAAAUAAGUUAUUUAAAUAUUGAUUUCAUAUACAGAAAGUGCAAUGUUGUUAGUUGUCAUAGAACUUGUUUGACAGUUUGUGGGUUUUUUUUCUUUCCCCCUAUUAAUUUAAAAAUCAAGAUAACAUGGACUUAAGACAGUCAGAUUUUUUUUUUUUCUGGAAACUCACUCAGUCCUCACACAGCAGUGACUUGGGAAUCUACGUCUGUUCCUCCACAGUUGUGAAAACACGCUAUGCCGAUUCAUUUCUCACAGAGGGAUCAUUUCCAAUUUCAUCCAUGCCUGGGGUCAGGACAGAGAAAAGGGCCCCCAAAUACACAAGGCCGUGAAAAGCUGUUUGCUCUAGUUAUCUGGGAAUGUAAAUAGUAGUUUAGGCAGCUGCUUUCUCUGCAGACAGCUGAGACACACAAAUCACACGCAUUCUGGGUAGCUACCUGAGCCGAAGGAACGCCUUUCCAGGUUAAUUUUGUGCUUUCCAAAGACAACAAUUUUCACUGUCACUCAAAAAUCCUGUACCAAAUGCAACUGAUCAAAAGUGGCUAUUGAGAAAGCCGGCCCGGCCGCCACAGGCCGCCCCGAGCCUCCUCACAGCCAUACACUUAACAUUCAGUCUUUUCUCAGACCAAAUGAAACGUUCGAAGCAAAAGAAAACCAAACAAACAUAAUACAAAGGAAGGAAGGAAGGAAGGAAGGAAGGAAGGAAGGAAGGAAGGAAGGAAGAAACAAACCUCAGCCCCUUCAGAUCAGACAUUCACACUAAACUCGUGGUCCCUGAAUUUAAUUCUCCAUAUGAAGGCAGUGAUUUCCAGAGUGAUAAAAGCUACUGUUGGACAUUUUCAAGACCUCCUCGAUUGACUUAAAAAAGAAAACACUACACCGAGAAUGAACUGAAACUGGGAAAUUCCCAUGAGAUUUCUCUUCCUCCCUCGGUACUUCCAAUGGGAUUUUUGCUUAGUCUUUCUCUCUUCGCUCAGCUAAAAUCCUAAGGGCAGUCUCUUGCAAGGUCAGGCCAGGGUUACUUCAAAAGCAAGAGGA